GAUGAACGCUGGCGGCGUGCCUAAUACAUGCAAGUCGAACGCUGGAGAUCUAGCUUGCUAGAUCGAAGGAGUGGCGAACGGGUGAGUAAUACAUAAGCAACCUACCCACGAAGACUGGGAUAAUCUCUGGAAACGGGGACUAAUACCGGAUAGGUAAUCGGAAGGCAUCUUCUGGUUAUUAAAGGUUAAAAACACUGGUGGAUGGGCUUAUGGCGCAUUAGUUAGUUGGUGAGGUAACGGCCCACCAAGACGAUGAUGCGUAGCCGGCCUGAGAGGGUGAACGGCCACAUUGGGACUGAGACACGGCCCAGACUCCUACGGGAGGCAGCAGUAGGGAAUUUCGGCAAUGGGGGCAACCCUGACCGAGCAACGCCGCGUGAGUGAAGACGGCCUUCGGGGUGUAAAGCUCUGUUGUAAGGGAAGAACGGUAGAUAGAGAAUAUCUAAGUGACGGUACCUUACCAGAAAGCCACGGCUAACUACGUG
rnacentral:rRNA from 1 species